UACAUGGGGUGCAAACGUUGCUCGGAAUUACUGGGCGUAAAGCGUGCGUAGGUGGUUCGUUAAGUCUGUCGUGAAAGCCCCGGGCUCAACCUGGGAAUGGCGAUGGAUACUGGCGGGCUAGAGUGCGGUAGAGGGUGGUGGAAUUCCCGGUGUAGCAGUGAAAUGCGUAGAGAUCGGGAGGAACAUCAGUUGCGAAGGCGGUCACCUGGACCAGCACUGACACUGAGGCACGAAAGCGUGGGGAGCAAACAGG
rnacentral:rRNA from 1 species